UGGGGAAUAUUGCGCAAUGGGGGGAACCCUGACGCAGCCAUGCCGCGUGAAUGAAGAAGGCCUUAGGGUUGUAAAGUUCUUUCGGUAUUGAGGAAGGUUGAUGUGUUAAUAGCACAUCAAAUUGACGUUAAAUACAGAAGAAGCACCGGCUAANNNNNNNNACAGCAGCCGCGGUAAUACGGAGGGUGCGAGCGUUAAUCGGAAUAACUGGGCGUAAAGGGCACGCAGGCGGUUAUUUAAGUGAGGUGUGAAAGCCCCGGGCUUAACCUGGGAAUUGCAUUUCAGACUGGGUAACUAGAGUACUUUAGGGAGGGGUAGAAUUCCACGUGUAGCGGUGAAAUGCGUAGAGAUGUGGAGGAAUACCGAAGGCGAAGGCAGCCCUUUGGGAAUGUACUGACGCUCAUGUGCGAAAGCGUGGGGAGCAAACAGGAUUAGAUACCCUGGUAGUCCACGCUGUAAACGCUGUCGAUUUGGGGGUUGGGGUUUAACUCUNGNNNCCCGUAGCUAACGUGAUAAAUCGACCGCCUGNNNNNUNNNNNNNNAAGGUUA
rnacentral:rRNA from 1 species